UACGGAGGGUGCAAGCGUUAAUCGGAAUUACUGGGCGUAAAGGGUGCGUAGGUGGUUUAAUAAGUUAUGUGUGAAAGCCCAGGGCUCAACUUUGGGAUGUCAGAUAAGACUGUUAGACUAGAGUAUGGGAGAGGGUAGUGGAAGUUUCCGGUGUAGCGGUGAAAUGCGUAGAGAUCGGAAGGAACACCAGUGACGAAGGCGGCUACCUGGCCUAAUACUGACACUGAGGCACGAAAGCGUGGGGAGCAAACAGGG
rnacentral:rRNA from 1 species